UGCCAGCCGCCGCGGUAACACGUAGGGGGCGAGCGUUGUCCGGAUUUAUUGGGCGUAAAGAGCUCGUAGGCGGUUGCGUAAGUCGGAUGUGAAAACUCAGGGCUCAACCCUGAGAUGCCAUUCGAUACUGCGCUGACUAGAGUCCGGUAGGGGAGCAUGGAAUUCCUGGUGUAGCGGUGAAAUGCGCAGAUAUCAGGAGGAACACCAGUGGCGAAGGCGACUUCCUGGGCCAAUACUGACGCUGAGGUGCGAAAGCGUGGGGAGCAAACAGGAUUAGAUA
rnacentral:rRNA from 1 species